AGUGAACGCUGGCGGUAGGCCUAACACAUGCAAGUCGAACGGCAGCACAGUAAGAGCUUGCUCUUACGGGUGGCGAGUGGCGGACGGGUGAGGAAUACAUCGGAAACUACUUUUUCGUGGGGGAUAACGUAGGGAAACUUACGCUAAUACCGCAUACGACCUACGGGUGAAAGCAGGGGAUCUUCGGACCUUGCGCGAUCGAAUGAGCCGAUGUCGGAUUAGCUAGUUGGCGGGGUAAAGGCCCACCAAGGCGACGAUCCGUAGCUGGUCUGAGAGGAUGAUCAGCCACACUGGAACUGAGACACGGUCCAGACUCCUACGGGAGGCAGCAGUGGGGAAUAUUGGACAAUGGGCGCAAGCCUGAUCCAGCCAUACCGCGUGGGUGAAGAAGGCCUUCGGGUUGUAAAGCCCUUUUGUUGGGAAAGAAAAGCAGCAGGUUAAUACCCCGCUGUUCUGACGGUACCCAAAGAAUAAGCACCGGCUAACUUCGUG
rnacentral:rRNA from 1 species